rnacentral:rRNA from 1 species
AUUGCCCCAGUAACGGCGAGUGAAGCGGCAAUAGCUCAAAUUUGAAAUCUGGCUCUUUCAGGGUCCGAGUUGUAAUUUGCAGAGGGCGCUUUGGCGUCGGCAGCAGCCUAAGUUCCUUGGAACAGGUCAUCAUAGAGGGUGAGAAUCCCGUAUGUGGCUGCUUGUCUUCACCGUGUAAAGCCCCUUCGAUGAGUCGAGUUGUUUGGGAAUGCAGCUCUAAAUGGGAGGUAAAUUUCUUCUAAAGCUAAAUAUUGGCCAGAGACCGAUAGCGCACAAGUAGAGUGAUCGAAAGAUGAAAAGCACUUUGGAAAGAGAGUCAAAAAGCACGUGAAAUUGUUGAAAGGGAAGCGCUUGCAGCCAGACGUGCCUGUAGUUGCUCAUCUGGGGAUUUCCCCAGUGCACUCUUCUAUAGGCAGGCCAGCAUCAGUUCGGGCGGUUGGAGAAAGACCUGUGUCACGUAGCUCUCUUCGGGGAGUGUUAUAGGGCAGGUGGAAUGCAACCAGCCUGGACUGAGGUCCGCGCAUCUGCUAGGAUGCUGGCGUAAUGGCUGUAAGCGGCCCGUCUUGAAACACGGACCAAGGAGUCUAACAUCUAUGCGAGUGUUUGGGUGUCAAGCCCGAGCGCGUAAUGAAAGUGAACGGAGGUGGGAACCCCUCGGGGUGCACCAUCGACCGAUCCUGAUGUCUUCGGAUGGAUUUGAGUAAGAGCAUAGCUGUUGGGACCCGAAAGAUGGUGAACUAUGCCUGAAUAGGGUGAAGCCAGAGGAAACUCUGGUGGAGGCUCGCAGCGGUUCUGACGUGCAAAUCGAUCGUCAAAUUUGGGCAUAGGG